UCGACUUUCAGUACAUUUUGCUGCUUGGGAGCAUGCGCCGGAGGGACAUCAUUUUUUUCUUGCUUCCUGGUGAACUGAGCACUCGAUACCGGAAUGGGCCACUGAGCAAUGGGCCUGUGCCUUGUUUGCCAAGUCGGUAUUCGGAACAGUUCGCCGAGUUGUAUUCCUGCUGGAACCGCGACAACGUCCUUUUGCUGUGGCCAUCAACGUGUUCUUGCAAUUCUUCGUCAACGUUCGCUGCAGCAGCCAUCGGCGCCCGUCGUGUGAGGUUGUUUUGCCCUGCACGUGUCAACGCAUCUUGGGACUCUGGACCGAUUCACAAUCGGCAUCACUCGACGGGAACAUCAGCUCAGCCAUCUCCUCAUGAAGUCAUACAUACGGCCUGGUAGUGUCACCAUAUGGUGCACUUCGCACAUGCAGCUAUUUCGCUACAGCGGUUCUCGACUAUGCGAAGCCCUCGGGUUGCUCGUCGGAGAUGAGACCUCGGGGAACAGAGAAGGGCUGCGCUGCAACGGCACGAAAAAAAUCGUGAAAAUUGGGGCAUGGUGAACCUCCUAACAUUUCCAAUGGCAUAUACAACUAUGCCUCGCGCGUGGUCCUGGUGUGGUCCUGGCUUUCUCUCGUAGCAGCUUAAACAAGCGUCCUGCAACGGUGGCAGUCUAAUCGCCAUCGAACCGGCUGGUCACGUGCACGGAACUUGACGUGGAUUCGAGGACAGGAAGAACAGACGAGAUGCGAUUUGGACCUGGAAGCAGGAGGACCUAGGCUGGAAUUAGACGUCGUCGUUCUAUUGACCUCAUUAUUUGUCUACUCAUCCUGAUAUGAGCAUCUUUUUACUCCUUCAAUUUAUACGUGCGCUUUCGACGAUUAUCUCUCAUCCCCCUUGCGUCACUUUUGUCUAAGCGUCUGAGGUACUAGAUGCGCCUCUGAGGCAUA